AUUGAACGCUGGCGGCAGGCCUAACACAUGCAAGUCGAGCGGAGCGGCGGACGGGUGAGUAAUGCCUAGGAAUCUGCCUGGUAGUGGGGGAUAACGUCCGGAAACGGGCGCUAAUACCGCAUACUAUCAGAUGAGUCUAGGUCGGAUUGGCUAGUUGGCGGGGUAAAGGCCUACCAAGGCGACGAUCCGUAACUGGUCUGAGAGGAUGAUCAGUCACCCUGGAACUGAGACACGGUCCAGACCCCUACGGGAGGCAGCAGUGGGGAAUAUUGGACAAUGGGCGAAAGCCUGAUCCAGCCAUGCCGCGGGGGUGAGGAAGGUCUUCGGAUUGUAAAGCACGUUAAGUUGGGAGGCGUUACCAACAGAAUAAGCACCGGCUAACUUCGUGCCAGCAGCCGCGGUAAUUC
rnacentral:rRNA from 1 species